rnacentral:rRNA from 1 species
UACGUAGGGGGCAAGCGUUGUUCGGAAUGACUGGGCGUAAAGGGUGCGUAGGCGGUGUAGCAAGUUAGAAGUGAAAUACCUAGAGCUUAACUCAGGUGCUGCUUCUAAAACUGCUAUACUUGAGUGCAGUAGAGGAAAGUGGAAUUCCUAGUGUAGCGGUGGAAUGCGUAGAUAUUAGGAGGAACAUUAGUGGCGAAGGCGACUUUCUGGACUGUAACUGACGCUGAGGCACGAAAGUGUGGGGAGCAAACAGG